rnacentral:sRNA from 2 species
AUUAGACGAAAGCUGAAUCCAAAGUUGAUAUAUUUGGAACGGGGGAUUAUUUUGGGGUGAAUCACGUGGUCUUUCACGUGUAGGGCAAACACCUUCCUGCCCGAAUCCGGCAACUAACCUCGUAAGCUUAAGAAAGGUGGAUAA